UAAAACGUAGGACACGAGCGUUAUCCGGAGUUACUGGGCGUAAAGGGCGAGUAGGUGGUGCGAUAAGACUGGUGUGAAAGCCUUCGGCUUAACCGAGGGAGGACACUGGUGACUGUCGGACUUGAGGCAGAUAGAGGGGUGUAGAAUUCCGGGUGUAGUGGUGAAAUGCGUAGAGAUCCGGAGGAAUACCAGAGGCGAAGGCGGCACCCUGGGUCUGACCUGACACUGAUCCGCGACAGCAUGGGGAGCGAACGGGAUUAGAAACCCCGGUAGUCCAUGCCGUAAACGAUGUGUACUGGGUGUUCACUCUCGCAAGGGAGGGAGCGCCUCAGCUAACGCGCUAAGUACACCGCCUGGGGAGUACGGUCGCAAGGCUA
rnacentral:rRNA from 1 species